AGCGAACGCUGGCGGCAGGCCUAACACAUGCAAGUCGAACGAAACCUUCGGGUUUAGUGGCGGACGGGUGAGUAACACGUGGGAACGUGCCCUUUGGUUCGGAACAACUCAGGGAAGCUUGAGCUAAUACCGGAUGUGCCCUUCGGGGGAAAGAUUUAUCGCCAUUGGAGUGGCCCGCGUAGGAUUAGCUAGUUGGUGGGGUAAUGGCCCACCAAGGCUCCGAUCCUUAGCUGGUCUGAGAGGAUGAUCAGCCACACUGGGACUGAGACACGGCCCAGACUCCUACGGGAGGCAGCAGUGGGGAAUCUUGCGCAAUGGGCGAAAGCCUGACGCAGCCAUGCCGCGUGAAUGAUGAAGGUCUUAGGAUUGUAAAAUUCUUUCACCGGGGACGAUAAUGACGGUACCCGGAGAAGAAGCCCCGGCUAACUUCGUGCCAGCCGCCGCCGUAA
rnacentral:rRNA from 1 species